rnacentral:rRNA from 1 species
CCUACGGGGGGCAGCAGUGGGGAAUAUUGCACAAUGGGGGAAACCCUGAUGCAGCAACGCCGCGUGAGCGAUGAAGGCCUUCGGGUCGUAAAGCUCUGUCCUAAGGGAAGAAUACUGCCGGUACCUUAGUAGGAAGCCCCGGCUAACUACGUGCCAGAAGCCGCGUUAAUACGAAGGGGGCUGGCGUUAGCCGGAAUUACUGGGCGUAAAGGGUGCGUAGGCGGCCCUUCAAGUCAGUGUUGUAAGGCUACGGCUCACCCGUAGUAGGCCUUGGGAACUGUAGGGCUUGAGUGCAGGGGAGGGGAGUGGAAUUCCCAGUGUAGCGGUGAAAUGCGUAGAUAUUUGGGAGAACACCCGUUGCGAAGGCGGCUCUCUGGACUGGAACUGACGCUGAGGCACAAAAGCGUGGGGGGCGAACAGGAUUAGAUACCCCUGUAGUC